rnacentral:lncRNA from 1 species
GACAGACUCCAGUUAUAAACAGAGACGGAGAGACAGACUCCAGUUAUAAACAGAGACGGAGAGACAGACUCCAGUUAUACACAGAGACAGAGACAGAGAGACAGACUCCAGUUAUAAACAGAGACGGAGAGACAGACUCCAGUUAUAAACAGAGACAGAGAGACAGACUCCAGUUAUACACAGAGACAGAGACAGAGAGACAGACUCCAGUUAUAAACAGAGACGGAGAGACAGACUCCAGUUAUAAACAGAGACGGAGAGACAGACUCCAGUUAUAAACAGAGACAGAGAGACAGACUCCAGUUAUAAACAGAGACAGAGAGACAGACUCCAGUUAUAAACAGAGACAGAGAGACAGACUCCAGUUAUAAACAGAGACAGAGAGACAGACUCCAGUUAUAGACAGAGACAGAGAGACAGACUCCAGUUAUAAACAGAGACAGAGACAGAGAGACAGACUCCAGUUAUACACAGAGACAGAGACAGAGAGACAGACUCCAGUUAUAAACAGAGACAGAGAGACAGACUCCAGUUAUAAACAGAGACAGAGAGACAGACUCCAGUUAUAAACAGAGACAGAGAGACAGACUCCAGUUAUAGACAGAGACAGAGAGACAGACUCCAGUUAUAAACAGAGACAGAGACAGAGAGACAGACUCCAGUUAUACACAGAGACAGAGACAGAGAGACAGACUCCAGUUAUACACAGAGACAGAGACAGAGAGACAGACUCCAGUUAUAAACAGAGACAGAGAGACAGACUCCAGUUAUAAACAGAGACAGAGAGACAGACUCCAGUUAUAAACAGAGACAGAGAGACAGACUCCAGUUAUACACAGAGACACAGAGACAGAGAGACAGACUCCAGUUAUACACAGAGACACAGAGACAGAGAGACAGACUCCAGUUAUAAACAGUAGUAGUCAGUAGUCUAGGUGACAGUAGGGUGGUAGUCUAGGUGACAGUGUGGUGGUAGUCUAGGGGACAGUGUGGUGGUAGUCUAGGGGACAGUGUGGUGGUAGUCUAGGUAACAGUGUGGUGGUAGUCUAGGUGACAGUGGGUGGUAGUCUAGGUGACAGUGUGGUGGUAGUCUAGGUGACAGUGUGGUGGUAGUCUAGGUGACAGUGUGGUGGUAGUCUAGGUAACAGUGUGGUGGUAGUCUAGGUGACAGUGUGGUGGUAGUCUAGGGGACAGUGUGGUGGUAGUCUAGGUGACAGUGUGGUGGUAGUCUAGGUGACAGUAGGGUGGUAGUCUAGGUGACAGUGUGGUGGUAGUCUAGGUGACAGUAGGGUGGUAGUCUAGGGGACAGUGUGGUGGUAGUCUAGGUGACAGUGUGGUGGUAGUCUAGGUGACAGUAGGGUGGUAGUCUAGGGGGCAGUGUGGUGGUAGUCUAGGUGACAGUGUGGUGGUAGUCUAGGUGACAGUGUGGUGGUAGUCUAGGUGACAGUAGGGUGGUAGUCUAGGUGACAGUAGGGUGGUAGUCUAGGUAACAGUGUGGUGGUAGUCUAGGGGACAGUGUGGUGGUAGUCUAGGUGACAGUAGGGUGGUAGUCUAGGUGACAGUAGGGUGGUAGUCUAGGUGACAGUAGGGUGGUAGUCUAGGUGACAGUGUGGUGGUAGUCUAGGUGACAGUGUGGUGGUAGUCUAGGGGACAGUGUGGUGGUAGUCUAGGGGACAGUAGGGUGGUAGUCUAGGUGACGGCCAGGACAGAAGUUGAUCUUAGAUUUCCAAAAACAUGAAGACAUCCUAACCCAUUACACACACACACACACACAAACAACUACACACAUAUACACACAUAUACACACACAUGUGCACACACACACACAAGCAUACAGACACACAAACAUACACACACACACACACACACACAGCCAAGCACCGCCACUCCCCCUUUAGACAGGACAGAAUGUAAACCAUCUAAGAAUUUGAUUCGCUGUCUGUCUGUCUGUCUGUCUGUCUGUCUGUCUGUCUGUCUGUCUGUCUGUCUGUCUGUCUGUCUGUCUGUCUGUCUGUCUGUCUGUCUGUCUGUCUGUCUGUCUGUCUGUGUGUGUGUGUGUGUGUGUCAGAGAAGGAAGGGGACCCUCAUAUACAGUUGAAGUCGGAAGUUUACGUCCACUUAGGUUGGAGUAAUUUAAAACUCAUUUUUCAUCCACUCCACAAAUUUCUUGUUAACAAACUAUAGUUUUGGCAAGUCGGUUAGGACGUCUACUUUGUGCAUGACACAAGUAAUUUUUCCAACUAUUUUUUACAGACUGAUUAUUUCACUUAUAAUUCACUGUAUCACAAUUUCAGUGGGUCAGAAGUUUACAUACACUAAGUUGACUGUGCCUUUAAACAGCUUGGAAAAUUCCAGAAAAUUAUGUCAUGGCUUUAGAAGCUUCUGAUAGGCUAAUUGACAUUUGAGUCAAUUGGAGGUGUACCUGUGGAUGUGUUUCAAGGCCUACCUUCAAACUCAGUGCCUCUUUGCUUGACAUCAUGUGAAAAUCAAAAGAAAUCAGCCAAGACCUCAGAAAAAAUUAUAGACCUCCACAAGUCUGGUUCAUCAUUGGGAGCAAUUUCCAAAUGCCUGAAGGUACCAUGUUCUUCUGUACAAACAAUAGUACCUGAAAAUAGCUGUGCAGCAACGCUCCCCAUCCAACCUGACAGAGCUUCAGAGGAUCUGCAGAGAAGAAUGGGAGAAACUCCCCAAAUACAGGUGUGCCAAGCUUGUAGAGUCAUACCCAUGAAGACUCGAGGCUGUAGUCGCUGCCAAAGGUGCGUCAACAAAGUACUGAGUAAAGGGUCUGAAUACUUAUGUUAAUGUGAUAUUUCAGUUUUUAUUAUUUUUUUAUACAUUUUCAAACAUUUCUAAAAACCACCUUUUGCUUUGUCAUCAUGGAGUAUUGUGUUUAGAUUGAUGAGGGAAAAACACAACUUAAUCCACUUUAGAAUAAGGCUGUAACAUAGCAAAAUGUGUAAAAGGUCAAGGGGUCUGAAUACUUUCCGAGUGCACUGUACAUUUAUUCAAAAUUUUAGGAAAAGCAGCAGAGAGAGAGAGAGAGAGAGAGAGAGAGAGAGAGAGAGAGAGAGACAGAGAGACACAGAGAGAGAGAGAGA